UGCCGCCCUGAAGGGCGUAUGGUGGAUGCCUUGGCAGACAGUACCGAUGAAGGACGUUUGAGGAUGCGAUAAGCCUCGGGGAGCCUCCAACAUGGCUUCGAUCCGAGGAUUUCCGAAUGGGGCAACCCGCCGGCCGUCAUGGGCCGGCACGGAACCUUGUUGUUCCGGGGGUACGCAGGGAAGUGAAACAUCUCAGUACCUGCAGGAAGGGAUACUCCGUGAGUAGUGGCGAGCGAAAGCGGAUCAGACCAAACCAUGGGCGCGUGAUACCCGUCGGGGGUUGCGUUCGUGGUGUUGCGGGAGCGUGUGUCCCGGUUCCGACGGACCGGGCGGGAGUCAUAAAACGGCUUGCCAGGGGAACAGGCUUGAAGGCCUGGCCGCAGAGGGUGCCAGCCCCGUACCUGGAAGCUUGCCGUCUUCCGAUCAUGUGUCCCAAGUAGCGCGGGCCUCGUGGAAUCCCGUGUGAAUCGGCCCCGACCGUGGGGUAAGUCUAAGCAUACCUGUCUGACCGAUAGCGUACCAGUACCGUGAGGGAAAGGUGAAAAGCACCCCGGGAGGGGAGUGAAAGAGUUCCUGAAACCGUGCGCCUACAAUCCGUCGGAGCCUCCUUGUGGGGUGACGGCGUGCCUAUCGAAAAAUGAGUCUGCGAGUCAGUGGUGCGUGGCGAGGCUAACCCGUGGUGGGGGAGCCGUAGCGAAGGCGAGUCUCAAAAGGCGUUUUGAGUCGCGCGCCCUGGACCCGAAGCGGGAUGAUCUAGCCCUGGGCAGGUUGAAGCGCGGGUAAGACCGCGUGGAGGACCGAACCCACCUGGGUUGAAAACCGGGGGGAUGACCUGGGGCUAGGGGUGAAAGGCCAAUCAAAUUCCGUGAUAGCUGGUUCUCUCCGAAAUGCAUUUAGGUGCAGCGUCGGUUGAUUGCAUCGCGGGGGUAGAGCUACUGGAUGCUUGCGGGCCCGUAUGGGGUACCAAUAGCAGCCAAACUCCGAAUACCGUGGAUGUGUAUUCCGGCAGUGAGUCGGCGGGGGAUAAGCUCCGUCGUCGAGAGGGAGACAGCCCAGAUCGUCGUCUAAGGUCCCGAAGCGUGUGCUAAGUGGGAAAGGAUGUGGAGUCGCAUAGACAGCCAGGAGGUUGGCUCAGAAGCAGCCAUCCUUGAAAGAGUGCGUAACAGCUCACUGGUCUAGUGGUUCCGCGCCGACAAUGUAGCGGGGCUCAAGCACACCACCGAAGACGCGGCAGCGGCCUUUGUGGCCGUUGGGUAGGAGAGCGUCCCGCGUGGGGCGAAGCGGCCGGGGAACCGUGCCGUGGACCGCGCGGGAGUGAGAAUGCAGACAUGAGUAGCGAGAGACGGGUGAGGAUCCCGUCCGCUGGAUGACCAAGGGUUCCGGGGCCACGUUCGUCGUCCCCGGGUGAGUCGGGUCCUAAGGCGAGGCCGACAGGCGUAGUCGAAUGGAUGAACGGGUGGAUAUUCCCGUACCGGCGGCGUACCGUAAGAGCCGAACGGAUGAGUACUAACCUCCGGUCGCGUGGCGUCGUUCCCUUCGGGGUUCGGUGUCCGCGGUCGUUGGGAGCGUAGUCCUGGUAGGCUAGCGCACAGGGGUGACACGGAAUGGGAGCCGGCCGCGGAGGUGGUUUUCCGUGGUCAAGCACGCAGCCCGUCCCAUAGGCAAAUCCGUGGGGCAUGUAGGGUGAGGUGUGAUGAUGGGCGUCUUUUUGGCGCGAUAUCCGGUGGUCCAGGCCGUCGAGAAAAGCCUCGGCGCGAGGGGCGUCGCCGCCCGUACCCCAAACCGACACUGGUGGUCAGGUAGAGAAUACCAAGGCGAUCGAGCGAAUCCUGGUCAAGGAACUCGGCAAAUCACUCCCGUGCCUUCGGUAUAAGGGAGACCCCCGGGCGUGAAGAGGCUUGCCCUCGGAGCGUUUGGGGGUGGCACAGACCAGGGGGUAGCGACUGUUUACCAAAAACACAGGUGCAUGCGAAGGCGCAAGCCGCUGUAUAUGCACUGACGCCUGCCCGGUGCCGGAAGGUUAAGAGGAUCCGUCAGCCCCUUUUUGGGGUGAAGCGGUGAAUUCAAGCCCCGGUAAACGGCGGUGGUAACUAUAACCAUCCUAAGGUAGCGAAAUUCCUUGUCGGGUAAGUUCCGACCUGCACGAAUGGCGUAA
rnacentral:rRNA from 1 species